AACUGCAAGUCGAGCGGGGGAGGUAGCUUGCUACUGGACCUAGCGGCGGACGGGUGAGUAAUGCUUAGGAAUCUGCCUAUUAGUGGGGGACAACAUCUCGAAAGGGAUGCUAAUACCGCAUACGUCCUACGGGAGAAAGCAGGGGAUCUUCGGACCUUGCGCUAAUAGAUGAGCCUAAGUCGGAUUAGCUAGUUGGUGGGGUAAAGGCCUACCAAGGCGACGAUCUGUAGCGGGUCUGAGAGGAUGAUCCGCCACACUGGGACUGAGACACGGCCCAGACUCCUACGGGAGGCAGCAGUGGGGAAUAUUGGACAAUGGGGGGAACCCUGAUCCAGCCAUGCCGCGUGUGUGAAGAAGGCCUUAUGGUUGUAAAGCACUUUAAGCGAGGAGGAGGCUACUUUAGUUAAUACCUAGAGAUAGUGGACGUUACUCGCAGAAUAAGCACCGGCUAACUCUGUGCCAGCAGCCGCGGUAAUACAGAGGGUGCGAGCGUUAAUCGGAUUUACUGGGCGUAAAGCGUGCGUAGGCGGCUUAUUAAGUCGGAUGUGAAAUCCCCGAGCUUAACUUGGGAAUUGCAUUCGAUACUGGUGAGCUAGAGUAUGGGAGAGGAUGGUAGAAUUCCAGGUGUAGCGGUGAAAUGCGUAGAGAUCUGGAGGAAUACCGAUGGCGAAGGCAGCCAUCUGGCCUAAUACUGACGCUGAGGUACGAAAGCAUGGGGAGCAAACAGGAUUAGAUACCCUGGUAGUCCAUGCCGUAAACGAUGUCUACUACCGUUGGGGCCUUUGAAGGCUUUAGUGGCGCAGCUAACGCGAUAUAGACCGCCUGGGGGAGUACGGUCGC
rnacentral:rRNA from 1 species